UAGACGACCUGAAGAAGAAAGACUGACAGGGACACCCUGAGCUACAGAGAGAACCAGGCCUCAAAAACGAAACAAAAACAAGAAAGAGAAAGGGAGGGGAGAGGUGGGGAAGAAGACAAGGAACUGGGCUUCUAGCCUGUGCACCUACUGGCCCUACAUACCCAGGAGCCAACAGGAGACGGCUUGUGCCCUCCCUCCUCACAACAUGCAAGACGGGCAGUCCACAGGCCUCCCAGUGAGCCGGAGCUUGCUGUGCAGGUCGUAUCAAUGAACUCCAACUGUACCCCAGAAUGCUGCCUCUCCUCUCCCGCAUUUCCAGCUGGAACCCAGCCUGGUCCAAACACUAGCUUUUCAACAUCGGCUGUGAGCAGCAUCGGCCGUGUCCCCGAAACCAAAACGAUGUCCUUUUUCUAAUGUAUUCAGUCCAUUAC
rnacentral:lncRNA from 1 species